AUGUCAACCUUCAUCAAAACACCAUUAUGUUUCAGUGGACAGGUGACUGUGACUCAAACCCCUUCUGUAAAAACGGUUCAGAUUGGUGAAUCAGUGACUAUAAACUGCAAAACAAACACAGAAGUGAGCAAUGCCUGAAUAUACAGCAACUACUUAGCCUGGUAUCAGCAGAAACCUGGAGAAGCUCCUAAACUCCUGAUUUAUUAUAUAAACAUCCUCCAGUCAGGAACUCCAUCUAGAUUCAGUGGCAGUGGAUCCAGAACUGAUUUCACUCUGACCAUCAGUGGAGUCCAGACUGAAGAUACAGGAGAUUAUUACUGUCAGAGUUACCACUAUCUAAACAGUAAAGCUGUGUUCACACAGUCAUAA